CAGUAUUUUAAUGCUUCGUGCAAACCAUGUGCAUAAUGGAGUCUUGUCUCUGUCCUGGGAGAUAAUUUAAUUACUUCUCAAUUAUCUCCUGGGCAGAGGAGAGGAAGCCAGGAUGCAUUGUGGUAAAAAGGGGGAGGGAAUCUGUGGGUUGUAACUAAUGUUACUGGAUGUUUUAUACCUCCCUGUGGGCUGUCCUGUAUUUGCAACACUGUAAUAAAAACCAGGCUGGGUGACCCAGCACCUCAGACCACUGCUUGACCCUCAACACAGAGCCUUGUCUCGUUCUUGGGGGGAUUCACUGUAUGCAGUUUGAGUGUUUGGACCAUUCCCUUGUAUGCAGUUCGAGUGUUUGGACCAUUCCCUUGUAUGCAGUUCGAGUGUUUGGAGCAUUCCCUUGUAUGCCGUUCGGGAGUUUGGAGCAUUCACU